GUUGAUAUUCCUGUACCACCUCCUCACCAUUUGAGCAAUGGGGGGACGCAGGAGGAUAGGGUAAGCGCGGUAUUGGAUAUCCGCGUCCAAGCAGUUAGGCUGGGAAAUAGGCAAAUCCGUUUCCCAUAAGGCUGAGCUGUGAUGGCGAGCGAAAUAUAGUAGCGAAGUUCCUGAUUCCACACUGCCAAGAAAAGCCUCUAGCGAGGUGAGAGGUGCCCGUACCGCAAACCGACACAGGUAGGCGAGGAGAGAAUCCUAAGGUGAUCGAGAGAACUCUCGUUAAGGAACUCGGCAAAAUGACCCCGUAACUUCGGGAGAAGGGGUGCUCUGUUAGGGUGCAAGCCCGAGAGAGCCGCAGUGAAUAGGCCCAGGCGACUGUUUUAGCAAAAACACAGGUCUCUGCGAAGCCGUAAGGCGAAGUAUAGGGGCUGACGCCUGCCCGGUGCUGGAAGGUUAAGAGGAGCGCUUAGCGUAAGCGAAGGUGCGAAUUGAAGCCCCAGUAAACGGCGGCCGUAACAAUAACGGUCCUAAGGUAGCGAAAUUCCUUGUCGGGUAAGUUCCGACCCGCACGAAAGGCGCAACGAUCUGGGCACUGUCUCAACGAGAGACUCGGUGAAAUUAUAGUACCUGUGAAGAUGCAGGUUACCCGCGACAGGACGGAAAGACCCCGUGGAGCUUUACUGCAGCCUGAUAUUGAAUGUUGGUACAGCUUGUACAGGAUAGGUAGGAGCCUUGGAAACCGGAGCGCCAGCUUCGGUGGAGGCAUCGGUGGGAUACUACCCUGGCUGUAUUGACCUUCUAACCCGCCGCCCUUAUCGGGCGGGGAGACAGUGUCAGGUGGGCAGUUUGACUGGGGCGGUCGCCUCCUAAAAGGUAACGGAGGCGCCCAAAGGUUCCCUCAGAAUGGUUGGAAAUCAUUCGCAGAGUGUAAAGGCACAAGGGAGCUUGACUGCGAGACCUACAAGUCGAGCAGGGACGAAAGUCGGGCUUAGUGAUCCGGUGGUUCCGCAUGGAAGGGCCAUCGCUCAACGGAUAAAAGCUACCCCGGGGAUAACAGGCUUAUCUCCCCCAAGAGUCCACAUCGACGGGGAGGUUUGGCACCUCGAUGUCGGCUCAUCGCAUCCUGGGGCUGUAGUCGGUCCCAAGGGUUGGGCUGUUCGCCCAUUAAAGCGGUACGCGAGCUGGGUUCAGAACGUCGUGAGACAGUUCGGUCCCUAUCCGUCGCGGGCGCAGGAAAUUUGAGAGGAGCUGUCCUUAGUACGAGAGGACCGGGAUGGACGCACCGCUGGUGUACCAGUUGUUCUGCCAAGGGCAUCGCUGGGUAGCUAUGUGCGGACGGGAUAAGUGCUGAAAGCAUCUAAGCAUGAAGCCCCCCUCAAGAUGAGAUUUCCCAUUCCGCAAGGAAGUAAGAUCCCUGAAAGAUGAUCAGGUUGAUAGGUCUGAGGUGGAAGUGUGGCGACACAUGGAGCUGACAGAUACUAAUCGAUCGAGGACUUAACC
rnacentral:rRNA from 1 species